rnacentral:rRNA from 1 species
GUGUCAGCAGCCGCGGUAAUACAGAGACUGCAAGCGUUAUUCGGAUUCACUGGGCGUAAAGGGUGCGCAGGCGGCCAAGUGUGUGAGGCGUGAAAGCCCGGGGCUUAACCUCGGAAUUGCACCUCAAACUAUUUGGCUAGAGCAUUGGAGAGGGUAGCAGAAUUCACGGUGUAGCAGUGAAAUGCGUAGAUAUCGUGAGGAAUACCAGAGGCGAAGGCGGCUACCUGGACAAUUGCUGACGCUCAGGCACGAAAGCGUGGGGAGCAAAAGGGAUUAGAUACCCCUGUAGUCCACGCCCUAAACGGUGCACACUAGGUCUUAGAGGAUUCGAUCCCUCUAGGGCCCAAGCUAACGCGUUAAGUGUGCCGCCUGAGGACUACGGUCGCAAGACUAAAACUUAAAGGAAUUGGCGGGG